rnacentral:lncRNA from 1 species
AUGCUGCUUUCUUUGAGAAACAUUUUCACCCACACCUCCUCCAGAACUGAGGUCUCCUGCGUUGUGAACCCAUUAUGUCCUGAACUGACUUUAACCUCUUAUUCAAAAUGCCUUAUGAAUACUUGUUUACAUAUCUGCCACAUUUUCACUGCCCCUGCCAGUCCUUUUUCCCUCCCCAAGUAAACUGUAAGACCCUCCAAGGUUGCAUUUACUGUAUUAACUUUAGUGCCUACCGAAGAGCCUGGCAUAAAAGCAAGCCAAUGAGCCCAAGUCUAUGUGGAUGGCCCAUGGUCUUGCAGUGUUGUCCCCUGAAGCCUCUGCCCCACUGGCUGUCUUUGUCCCCAGACUCCUACAACAAAGAGUCCCUGCCCAAGGCAGACCCAGAAGACUCAGCUGCUGGUUCAGGCCGGCCUCCUUGGGCAAGGAAACCAUAUAGAGCAGGGCCCCUGGUCUUAUAAAUUUCCAUGAUGUGCAGUCUACCUACUGGAAUAAUACAAGGAAGUCCAAAGGAGAGCCUGGAUUCUGCAUUUUAAUAUACACCCU